rnacentral:rRNA from 1 species
UAGGAUAGAGGCCUACCAUGGUGGUAACGGGUAACGGGGUGUUAGGGCACGACACCGGAGAGGGAGCCUGAGAAACGGCUACCACAUCCAAGGAUGGCAGCAGGCGCGCAAAUUACCCAAUCCCGACACGGGGAGGUAGUGACAAUAAAUAACAAUACGGGGUUCUUUCGGAUCUCGUAAUUGGAAUGAGUACAAUUUAAAUCUCUUAACGAGGAACAAUUGGAGGGCAAGUCUGGUGCCAGCAGCCGCGGUAAUUCCAGCUCCAAUAGCGUAUAUUAAGGUUGUUGCAGUUAAAAAGCUCGUAGUUGAAUUUCGGGGUUAGUAGGUUGGUCAUGCCUCUGGUAUGUACUGAUCUCACUGAUUCCUCCUUCCUGAUGAACCGUAAUGCCAUUAAUUUGGUGUUGCGGGGAAUUUGGACUGUUACUUUGAAAAAAUUAGAGUGUUUAAAGCAAGCUAACGCUUGAAUACAUUAGCAUGGAAUAAUGAAAUAGGACGUUCGAUCCUAUUUUGUUGGUUUCUAGGAUUGACGUAAUGAUUAAUAGGGAUAGUUGGGGCAUUAGUAUUCAAUUGUCAGAGGUGAAAUUCUUGGAUUUAUUGAAGACUAACUACUGCGAAAGCAUUUGCCAAGGAUGUUUUCAUUAAUCAAGAACGAAAGUUAGGGGAUCGAAGACGAUCAGAUACCGUCGUAGUCUUAACCAUAAACUAUGCCGACUAGGGAUCGGAUGA